rnacentral:lncRNA from 1 species
UUUUAUAGUUUAAUCCAGUGAUGUCAUGAAAUUAACGAAGCAAGAACCACAGAGCAUUUUUUGGCAAAUAAGAACCAUAGUUCAUAUUUACGGUAUGUGACGAGUUGCUGACUAAUAUAAAAAACCAUAGUUUAUGUUUCAUUAAAUUCAAUGAAAACAAAAACAGAUCUCAUGAAUUUUUUUUUUUACAUUUUUGACCACCAAGUUAAGUAGAUACUAGAAAAACAAAUGAGGAAGAAACACAAGCAAAAAUUAAUGCAUAACCAAAUAUACAUUUGUCAUGAAUUAGUUUUUUUUCUUGAAAUUUUCAUGAAUUAGUUAAAAAAAACAAAACAGAAAAAUAAACAAAACAUUUAGUGAAAAUACAUAUAUAACUUGGGCUUGGAGAAAAUUUAGUCAAAAAAAAAUUAUUUAGUGAAAUUACAUCAUGUAAUGCAAAAAUACAGAAUAUGAAAACAAAAAUAUAAAAAAACCACAAGGACAAAGAAAAACCUAAUUUUACAAUAUUUUCACGUUUAAUAAAACAUAGGCAAACGACAUAAGAGUGGAUCAAGUGAAAUUUGUUUUUAGGUUUUUCACUAAAAUCGAACUUCAAAAAAAAAAAGUAAUGAUAAAUCCACAAACAGUGAUUGAUACUUAAUCAAAACAAAAAAUUUACAAAAACAAAAGUUUUAGUUUUUAGAAAAUUUUAGAUAUAAAAAAUAAAACAAUAACAAUCUAGUGAAAAUACAUAAUAUAAUUUAGUUUGACAAAAUUUUAGUCAACAAACAAUAAUUUAGUAAAAAACAUAAUCAAAUAAAAAUAUUUAUUUAACAAGAAUAAAUAAAGAAAAAUUAAAAGAACACAAAAGAAAAAAAUCCAUUUAUGAUGUUAUUUUCACGUUUUAUCAUACUGAGAAACAAAGAUAAAAACGAAAAAAAAAGAGGAAAACAAACACACAUGUAUGUUUUCCCUUUUGCAACAAUGAAAACCACACAUAUAAUCAUUGUAAGACAUAUAUGUUCUUCUCAUAAUGUAAUCAAGAAAUGUAACAUUACUGUUUCCAAUUAAUUAUGGGACAUUUUAAUAACCCAAUGAAUUCAUUUUUUUUUUUUUUAAAACUAAAAUAAUCCAAUUGCAACAAUGAAAGUUCAAGCAAAUAGUUGCAAAUUCCGAACGAGUGAGACAAUACACAACAAACUAAUAAAGAACACAUAAGAGUAGGCAUAAAAUAGAUGACCUACAACAUAACAAAAAAAAUAAAGUAAUUACAUCGCCUAAACAAACAUAAAACAAUAUCCCAUUACAAAAUUAAAACUAUGACAAUAUGUAGUUUAGUCAAUUAACGAAUUUGACUCUCAAUAUUCUGACAUCAUACAUAAGAAAAAAAUUACAAAAUAAUGAAAAAAAUUAACAUAAUUAACCCUAUUAAACUAAAAAUAAGUACUAGUUAAAACACUUUACAAAUUAAAAUCCUUGUGUGAAGAACUGACAAACCCUUAAUAAAAUAGAUAAAAAUAAAAUAAAAUAUAGACAAAGCCGUAAUCAAAGUUCGAAUAAAAGGAAUAACAAAGAUGACAGGAAUCUGAAAAAUAUAUAAAAUAAAAUAGAGAGAUAGAACCAUCAAUUUGAUCAAAAUAAAAUUCAAUUUUGGUAAACAUCAAAUUUAUUUGCAUAAAUGUGUAUAUAUAAAUGUAUAUAUAUAAAUAAAAAUAAUCAUAAUUCAGGUACGAUAUUAUGGAAGUCAUAUAUAAAUAGUUAAACAAAUAUCACUUAACGUGAUCAAGAAGCACUCUUAUGGAAAUGGAGAGUAUACUUCAUUACUCAAUAUAUCAGCACUUUGGAACAUAUUGUAAAGAUCUGAUCUCGAUGAUUUAAAAUCUACCGGUUUGGCUAAGUUUUUCUAUAGGUUUGAACGAGCUAUAAAUUUGAAAAGAAGAUUUCAAGAUUUCACAACUGGUUACCAUCCUCGAUCAGAAAAUUUAUUAACUAAGACUGCAUGAGUAUUUUAUAG